CUGUCUGUAUAUUUUCAGGGUGUGUCUAAUCCCUUGCAUGCGGAUGAAGGAAGCUAUUGACUUUUAAAAUAAGGGUCCUCUGCAGAUGCUCGAUGUAACUGCAUGCAUGUACGUCCAGCAGAACACCAAGUUUAAACGUGGCGAGGGUACGAAGACGAGGAGAGUGCUAACUAUUCAUGAGAAUGCUGCUGAACCAGACAGACUAUCUGCAUCUAAACGACAGUUUACAUAAUAUAUGUGGAGACACCAUCAAGAAAGUCUCGAACUAC